rnacentral:rRNA from 1 species
UACGUAGGUGGCAAGCGUUGUCCGGAAUUAUUGGGCUUAAAGCGCGCGCAGGCGGCCUCUUAAGUCUGAUGUGAAAGCCCCCGGCUCAACCGGGGAGGGCCAUUGGAAACUGGGAGGCUUGAGUAUAGGAGAGAAGGAGUGGAAUUCCACGUGUAGCGGUGAAAUGCGUAGAGAUGAUGGAGGAACACCAGUGGCGAAGGCGACUCUUUGGCCUAUAACUGACGCUGAGGCGACGAAAGCGUGGGGAGCAAACAG